rnacentral:rRNA from 1 species
UACGUAGGGUGCGAGCGUUGUCCGGAAUUAUUGGGCGUAAAGGGCUCGUAGGCGGUUUGUCGCGUCGGGAGUGAAAUCCACUGGCUUAACUGGUGGCUUGCUUUCGAUACGGGCAGACUAGAGGUAUGCAGGGGAGAACGGAAUUCCUGGUGUAGCGGUGAAAUGCGCAGAUAUCGGGAGGAACACCGGUGGCGAAGGCGGUUCUCUGGGCAUUACCUGACGCUGAGGAGCGAAAGUGUGGGGAGCGAACAGG